UACGUAGGGCACAAGCGUUGUCCGGAAUUAUUGGGCGUAAAGAGCUCGUAGGCGGUCUGUCGCGUCCGUUGUGAAAGCCCCGGGCUCAACCUGGGAAGUGCACUCGAAACUACAGAGCUGGAGUCUCGGAGAGGAUCGCGGAAUUCUCGGUGUAGAGGUGAAAUUCGUAGAUAUCGAGAGGAACACCGGUGGCGAAGGCGGCGAUCUGGACGAUGACUGACGCUGAGACGCGAAAGCGUGGGGAGCAAACAGG
rnacentral:rRNA from 1 species